GUGCCAGCCGCCGCGGUAAUACCGGCAGCUCGAGUGAUGUCCAAUAUUAUUGGGCCUAAAGCGUCCGUAGCUGGCUGCGCAAGUCCGUCGGGAAAUCCACUCGCCCAACGAGUGGGCGUCCGACGGAAACUGCACAGCUUGGGACCGGAAGGCUCGAAGGGUACGUUCGGGGUAGGAGUGAAAUCCCAUAAUCCCGCACGGACCACCGAUGGCGAAAGCACUUCGAGAAAACGGAUCCGACAGUGAGGGACGAAAGCUAAGAUCGCGAACCGGAUUAGAAACCCUUGUAGUCC
rnacentral:rRNA from 1 species